rnacentral:rRNA from 1 species
AUUGAACGCUGGCGGCAGGCCUAACACAUGCAAGUCGAACGAGUGGCGGACGGGUGAGUAAUGUCUGGGAAACUGCCUGAUGGAGGGGGAUAACUACUGGAAAAGGUAGCUAAUACCACCUACCAUCGGAUGUGCCCAGAUGGGAUUAGCUAGUAGGUGGGGUAAAGGCUCACCUAGGCGACGAUCCCUAGCUGGUCUGAGAGGAUGACCGGCCACACUGGAACUGAGCAACGGUCCAGCCUCUGACGGGAGGAAGAAGGGGGGAAUAUUGCACAAUGGGCGAAAGCCGGCUGCAGCCAUGCCGCGGGGAUGAAGAAGGCUUUCGGGUUGUAAAGUACUUUCAGCGGGGAGGCGUUACCCGCAGAAGAAGCACCGGCUAACUCCGUGCCAGCAGCCGCGGUAAUAC